rnacentral:rRNA from 1 species
UACGUAGGGUGCAAGCGUUAUCCGGAAUUACUGGGCGUAAAGAGCUCGUAGGCGGUUUGUCGCGUCUGCUGUGAAAACUGGAGGCUCAACCUCCAGCCUGCAGUGGGUACGGGCAAACUAGAGUGCGGUAGGGGAGAUUGGAAUUCCUGGUGUAGCGGUGGAAUGCGCAGAUAUCAGGAGGAACACCGAUGGCGAAGGCAGAUCUCUGGGCCGUAACUGACGCUGAGGAGCGAAAGCAUGGGGAGCGAACAGG